rnacentral:rRNA from 1 species
CACGUAGGGGGCGAGCGUUGUCCGGAUUUAUUGGGCGUAAAGAGCUCGUAGGUGGCUCGGUAAGUCGGGUGUGAAAUUUCGAGGCUCAACCUCGAGACGCCACCUGAUACUGCUGUGGCUAGAGUCCGGUAGGGGAGCGUGGAAUUCCUGGUGUAGCGGUGAAAUGCGCAGAUAUCAGGAGGAACACCAGUGGCGAAGGCAGCCAUCUGGACCGACACUGACGCUGAGGCGCGAAAGCGUGGGGAGCAAACAGG